CGCAAUCCGUUAUUCUGCUGCGUUUUCCAAGAAUCGCCGCGGAGCGUGCUUCAUCCCCGUGAAAAUUCUGAGCAGCAAGAUGAAUAAUACCAGAACGGAGAGAUUAAGAAAAAGAAUUUCGGUAGGACUUUUCUGGGCGCAUUUAUUCAAAGAUUGACCGAUUAUGACAUUGGUAAUGAAGGAGUGAUAAUGAGGUUAAUGGUCCAAAAACUUGGAUGUUCUUUUCGUUGAUCGCCAGAUGAAGAGA